ensembl:lncRNA
CUUGGCACUGUAACUCCUCCUCCUUUCCCAUCAUAGCAUAAUACAAGCCUACCAAAAUGAUGACUUCUUGAUUUCAGAGAGGGUUAACUGCUUUGUCAACACAGCAGAGGGGCUGGAGCUCCAGCAGGACUGAGGGCAGGGGUUACAGGAGCUGCAUGGGGCGGCAGGGCCGGGACCCUGGCCAGGGUGGUGGGUGGCGGUGCCUGGGGUCCCCUGCCUGCCGACAGAAGUGAUGGGUGGUGCUUCAGUGUGUUGUAAAUUACAACUGCAGUGGGCGUCAUCACCAUUAAUAUCAGUAGCACUGUACCUGGUGGUCGCAUUAUAUAAAAUGUGUGGUCCGUACAAAAGAAGUUCAGACAGAUUUACAGAGAUUCGAAUGUGCCUAACACACCACUGUACUUAACUGUAAGCCGCAAUCAAAGCUUUGUUUCUGUGCACAAUCCAGUCACGCGGUCACAGAACGGCUCAGGCUGGAGGCAUCUCUGCAGAACAGCCCGCGUGGGGAGCGGCUGCUGGGCAGGAUGAGGUCCCACCGGGCACAGCAGACCCACAGCCCGGGCACAGCGCAGAGCGCUCUGAGCUGCAGCCCGGCUGCUGUUUGACCAGCAACCUUUCCCUGCUCCUGUCCUUUUCUUACAGCGGGAUCCCAGGCUGAGCUUCUAGUUCAUCUCUCAAAAGAAAACAGAAGCAACUGCUCUACCACCGAUUUCAGGACGUUCCACAAUUUAUUGACAAUGACAAGACUUCCUGAAAUUUUCUCUCCGGCUGGAGGACUAUCCCAGCAUCCAACCACCCCAGCUCCUAAUAGCAGAGAUGCUCCCAUCCUCCCAGCACCUUGGUGGCCAUUCUCUGGGCUCACUCCAAUGUGUCCGGGUCUGUGUGUUACUGGGGAGCCCACACCUGGACACUGUGGUCUCACCAGAGCUGAGCAGAGGGGAAUGGAACGAUGACCUCGAGCUGCUGGCAGCGCUCCUCACACAGCCCAGGGAUGAGCAAUGCUCAGUGAGAGCCGAGGCAGAAGAGCUGUGCAGUGCCUCAGCUGCUCCCCACCAGCACUUUCCAUCCCCGUGCCGUCCCCAGGUGAGGUUGUGCUGCCCACUCAGCAGUGGGGCUGAGUGCAGUGCUGUGUGCUCUUUGCCAUCCAGCUGCUCCUGUGGGACCUGCUCAGCCAUUCCCCUCCUCAGUGUCCUGUGGUGGCCAGAUGCAGUGGUGCCCAUUGGGCUCCCAGUGCCAGGAGAAGCUGUGUUCUCCCUGAUGGGAGCAUCUGGAGACGCUGUGCUUCUUGUGCCUGGGUGAGACACUGCAGGACCAAGGGGGAGAUGUUCUUCCCCAGCACUGGAUCCUUCCCCAGGGCUGGUGGGUCAAGGAGUCCUUUGGGGGGCAUGGCAUGAGGCUCAGGAGGGAGGCAAUGGGCCCUGCUGGUGGUCCAGCGCUGGAUGCAGUCCCUGCAGGUGAGCCUGAAGGGGACAACAUGAGCCGCGUCCGCCAGUGGGCAGAGACAGAUGGAAUACGUCUCCUCCUCGUGGCCCUCCACCGACUGCACCUGUACCUGCUGGCUCAUGUUGGCAGCUGCCUCCUGACUGACUCCUGGCUGUGGCUGCCCUGGCAUGGAGGAGCUCAGAGAACAGACUCACUGGAGGCUGCCUCUCACAGAGCAGUCAGCAGUGUCUGGGCCUCAGCACCUCUUGCGUGUCGCUGCCAGUGACAGACACCUCUCCUGCCAGUGGCAGGAGCUCUGACAUCUGGUGUUCCUUGAGCAGGAUCCUUGGUCACUUGCAAUCCACUUGCAGGACCUUGACGUCUCACGUACAGCUGGCAAGGCCUUGACAUCUCAUGUUCCACGCAGGGAAGGCACUGAUGUCUCAAGAGUUGUCAGCAGGACUCGGAAGAGGGCAGAACGCUCUGGGUAUCUAUACCCUGAGCCAUCUAUAUAUAUACCCAUCCACACCGUUGUGAAGUCACGAGGUGACAGUGACUCCCCGUGGUGUCACAAGGCACACAGAUGUAGAUUUGUUUUCUGUGAGUUGCCAUGCUAAUAAUAGUUUUGAUGUUUGCCUGCCAGAACCCUGCUAAGAACUUUCAUGGGGCAGUUCCACAGACACUGAGAAACAAACAGCUGCUUGAAACGAUGAGCCCAACUGAUUUGAAGGCAGCUGGGAAAGGAGCUGUUGGGACAGAGAAACUAACAGUAUAAAGUAUUAUACACACAGUAUAAUAUUUCCCAUAAUAUAAUGUAUGUGGGAAAAACAAGCAAUUGUGAUUACACUCUGUAUCACAAUGAAACCUGACAUUGGUUUAAAUGUAAAUGUAACAGUACAAGCUUGUAUUUGUUCUGGCCUGAAAUCCUCACGGAGCUGUAACAAUGAGUCAGCAAUAGCAAAUGAUCACCUCUGCCAGUCUGAGGCUGCAAUCUGAUAUGGAAUGUAAUUAAUAGGAACUGUGAAUUCUACAAUUUCAGUAGAAUUCUACAAUUCUACUAAUUCUAAAUCACAGAAUCAGAAUCACCAAGGUUGGAAAAGACCUCCAAGAUGAUGCAGUCCAACCAUCCACCUACCACCAGUAUUUCCCACUAACCCAUGUCCCUCAGUGCAACAUCUAAAUGUUUCUUCAACACCUCCAGGGUCGGUGACUCCCCCACCUCCCUGGGUAGCCCAUUCCAGCACCUGACCACUCUUUCAGGGAAGAAAUUUUCCUUAACAUCCAACCUGAACCCCCCUCCCCCCCCUGCAACUUGAGGCCAUUCCCUCUCGUCUUAUUGCUAGUUUUGUGGGAGCAGAGGCGGUCCCCCACCUCACAGCCUCCUUUCAGGUGGCUGCAGAGAGUAAUGAGGUCUCCCCGAGCCUCUUCUCCAGACUGAGCAGUCCCAUUUCCCUCAGCCAGUCCCCAUAACACCUGUGCUCCAGAUCCCUCACAGCUUCGCUGCCCUUCCCUGGACACGCUCCAGGGCCUCCAUGUCUUUCUUGUAGUGAGGGGAAUGUUGCAUUGUGCAGAGUAAUGGUGAGCUAAGUACUAACAGCAAUCGGGGAAUGUGGUCUGGGUGACAGAUCUGGCAGCUCAGAUCAACAUCCAUACAGAUUAAGCCAAACCUGCUCAAUGAAAUUCAAUUGUCCUGCUCAUCCAAGGUGCUCCCUCUGCUUGUAUUAAAAAACUGGCAAAACUGUUGGCCUACCUCUGAUCAUAAAAUCCUGUGCUACGCUAAUUACCAAAUUCUGUGAAAAAAAAUCAAGUUUAAUUGUAACUGCAACUGAGCACUGUCCUCAUUCUGCCCAUGAUCCCCACCCAGAGAGCCUGGCUGAUCUCUGAGCUCUGGCUGACAGCUGCUCGGAAGUUCUGGAGUGCUGGGAGAGCUCCUUUGCCCCUUCCCCUUUGCUUGCUUACGCUCACCCCAUAGAGAAAGCAUUGGUUUGCCACUUGUCUGCUCCCUAUGCACCCCUACCAGCAACAUCUCACUCUGAGUAAUCAUCCUCUGUGGCUUUCAGAGUUGCAGUCCCCUGAGGCUCCUUCACUCCCCUCCAGCCCCCCAUUCCCCAGCUGCCACAGCAGCAGAAUCACAUCCCCACCACUCUCCUCCCUGCAGCCCCAACCAGGGCAUUGGCAGUGCCUUCAAGGCAGGUAGGAUCCUGCCAACAACACCAGAUGUAAAGUGCAGGGGUGACUGCUCCUUCCAGAUCCCCUAAGAAAGGGGCCCAGAUUCUGCAAGGCAUUGAUUAAAGUUAAAACACCUGGAGAUAACAUGAGAAAAAAAUACAUCAUCUUACAUUCCUUCAGAUGUUGGGAAGAAGUCGUGCAGCAUUGCAUGGACCUUGAGACAAGACACAGCAUGGUGCUCAGGCUCUGCCAGACUAGGACUUCACCAGCACUGCAGUCUUGAGUGUUGCCCUAGGGCUUUCCCAGGAGCACGCAACGGGAUCCAUCUGCAACUGAACCAGAACACAUUUAGUGAAAACACACUGCUUUACUCCAAGAUAAAGCCAAGGCAGCGUCAUUGCCAGGUGCACAGCAGGAGCUGCCCGCAGGUGUCCCCAUGCAAUGAACUGGGAAGGUUGUCCUGCACCUACUUGGGGCUACCCCCGUGUGGGACCCCUUGAUGUGUGAUGGUCACUCGGCCAGCAGCAGCACAGACAGCUGGGACGGAGAUCUUCCAGAUGCUCCAGCAGCAGCCCUACCGUGCCCGUGCCGGUUUUGGGGAGCGUUAUUUUUUUUCACAGUACUUCCUGCUGUCCCGUGCUUUGGUUUUGUGAUGAAAGCGGUGUUGAAAACAUACAGAUGUAGCUGCAGCUCAGCAGUGCUUACACAGAGUCAAUGUCUUUCCUGUUCCUCAAGCUGCCUUCCCAGUGAGCGUGCUGCACGUGCACAGCUCCUGUCCUGCUGGGAGGGCACACAGCCGGGACGUCCCAGCUCAUGCAGUGCCGUGCUCAGCAAGAGGGCCGCGGGGGAAUUUUUCCAGGGGAAAACUGCUGCCUGGGGGCCGGCUGGGCACUGCUCACAUAGCGGCAUACCAGCCCUCCUGCUUCCUCAUUUCACCUUUCCCACCCGCUUCCCCCUUCCUGCACGGCCGAGGUGGGCGGCUGGCUGUGCCCCGCCUGCCACUGAGCCCACAGCAGCGCCUCCGGCCGGGACAGCGAACCCUGCAGCGCCUCCUGCAUCCGUGCAGGGCGCGGACCCGCUGGAAGGGAAAGGACGGGCAGCGACGUUAACGCUCCUGGCGCUCUAACGGGGGUACCGUGAGAACGGUGAAGGGCGCGAAUCCCGGGACGAGGCAGAAAAUCCCCGCACGGCAAUCUGCGCUGACCUGGCAGCCAACGCGGAGGCAGCAGCGGACAGCCCGGGGGCAUUAACGUUCCUUUGGAAAAGCACACGGAGCGGCUGCGAGGGGACGGGGCGGGGAGCCGCCUCGCCGGGCGAACUCCGCGCUCUCCUCUCUCUGCUCUCGGGGGACGCGGGCAGAGACCCGCGGCCUGCAUCGAGGGGCCGGGCGUUUGGGGCCCGCUCGCGGGGUGGCGGCGUGCCCUCGUGGGGCCCCGCUCGAACCCGGGGGCUGCAGCGGCUCUCGGAGCAGGAAGGAGUGGCAAAGGGCGACGGCGUGCCGCGGAACGGGGCGCUGGAGGAGGGCGGCCUCAGGCGGGGCGGGAGAGGUGGGCGCGUCCCCUUUAAGAGGAAGAGGACGGCGGAGGCGACGGGCGCCGCCGCGGCCGAGCCGCGAAAGCGCACGCGCACAGCUUUUCCCCGUGACUUAUUCGGCGCUGCUCGCGGUGGGAGCCGUGCGCUCGGGCGGG